AUGUGGUACAUUUACACAAUGGAGUACUAU
rnacentral:piRNA from 1 species